CAUGUACUCCCUCCGUCCCAUAUUAAGUGACUUCCUAUUGCAUGUAUAUGCCUUUUAGGCAUAGAUACAUCCAUAUUAAGGCAAAUUUGAGUCACUUAAUAUGGGACGGAGGUAGUAUUAG
rnacentral:pre_miRNA from 1 species